GCCAUAGCUCAGUGGUGCAACAUUUGCUUUGCACGCAGAAAGACCUGGGUUAAAUCCCUGGCAUCUCCA